rnacentral:rRNA from 1 species
UACAGAGGGUGCGAGCGUUAAUCGGAAUUACUGGGCGUAAAGCGUGCGUAGACGGUAGCGUAAGUCAGAUGUGAAAGCCCCGGGCUCAACCUGGGAAUUGCAUUUGAGACUGCUCUGCUCGGGUGCGGAAGAGGGAAGCGGAAUUUCCGGUGUAGCGGUGAAAUUCGUAGAUAUUGGGAAGAACACCGGUGGCGAAGGCGGCGACCUGGUCCGACACUGACGCUGAGGCGCGAAAGCGUGGGGAGCAAACAGG